rnacentral:rRNA from 1 species
AACGAACGCUGGCGGCAGGCCUAACACAUGCAAGUCGAACGAGAAGCCACCUUCGGGUGGUGGACAGUGGCAGACGGGUGAGUAACGCGUGGGAACGUGCCUUUCGGUUCGGGAUAACCCAGGGAAACUUGGGCUAAUACCGGAUACGCCCUCCGGGGGAAAGAUUCAUUGCCGAAAGAUCGGCCCGCGUCGGAUUAGCUGGUUGGUAGGGUAAUGGCCUAUCAAGGCGACGAUCCGUAGCUGGUCUGAGAGGAUGACCAGCCACACUGGGACUGAGACACGGCCCAGACUCCUACGGGAGGCAGCAGUGGGGAAUAUUGGACAAUGGGCGAAAGCCUGAUCCAGCCAUGCCGCGUGGGUGAAGAAGGCCUUAGGGUUGUAAACCCCUUUCAGCGGGGAAGAUAAUGACGGUACCCGCAGAAGAAGUCCCGGCUAACUCCGUGCCAGCCGCCGCGGUAAGAC